GAUGAACGCUGGCGGCGUGCCUAAUACAUGCAAGUCGAGCGAAUGGAUUAAGAGCUUGCUCUUAUGAAGUUAGCGGCGGACGGGUGAGUAACACGUGGGUAACCUGCCCAUAAGACUGGGAUAACUCCGGGAAACCGGGGCUAAUACCGGAUAACAUUUUGAACCGCAUGGUUCGAAAUUGAAAGGCGGCUUCGGCUGUCACUUAUGGAUGGACCCGCGUCGCAUUAGCUAGUUGGUGAGGUAACGGCUCACCAAGGCGACGAUGCGUAGCCGACCUGAGAGGGUGAUCGGCCACACUGGGACUGAGACACGGCCCAGACUCCUACGGGAGGCAGCAGUAGGGAAUCUUCCGCAAUGGACGAAAGUCUGACGGAGCAACGCCGCGUGAGUGAUGAAGGCCUUCGGGUCGUAAAACUCUGUUGUUAGGGAAGAACAAGUAUCGGAGUAACUGCCGGUACCUUGACGGUACCUAACCAGAAAGCCACGGCUAACUACGCGCCAGCCGCCGCCGUAA
rnacentral:rRNA from 1 species